UUGAACGCUGGCGGCAUGCUUUACACAUGCCAGUCGAACGGUAACAGGCCUUCGGGUGCUGACGAGUGGCGACCGGGUGAGUAAUGCAUCGGAACGUGCCCAGAGGUGGGGGAUAACGCAGCGAAAGCUGUGCUAAUACCGCAUGUGAUCUGAGGAUGAAAGCGGGGGACCAAGCAGCAAUGUUUGGCCUCGCGCCUCUGGAGCGGCCGAUGUCAGAUUAGGUAGUUGGUGGGGUAAAGGCCUACCAAGCCGACGAUCUGUAGCUGGUCUGAGAGGACGACAAGCCACACUGGGACUGAGACACGGCCCAGACUCCUACGGGAGGCAGCAGUGGGGAAUUUUGGACAAUGGGCGCAAGCCUGAUCCAGCAAUGCCGCGUGCGGGAAGAAGGCCUUCGGGUUGUAAACCGCUUUUGUACGGAACGAAAAGGCUCUGGCUAAUACCUGGGGCUGAUGACGGUACCGUAAGAAUAAGCACCGGCUAACUACGUG
rnacentral:rRNA from 1 species